rnacentral:lncRNA from 1 species
AGUAAACAAACAAAAAAUGUUGUGAAUGUAAACUCUGGAAAUUAAGGUAAAGCAAAUAUAUGCUAAAUAGCUCCAAGUAUGGUAUUUAAACAAUGCUUCUUAGAGACUAGUACCUCUCUGAAUGUAGAUUUAUUUUUGUUAGUUGUUUCAUGUUGUUAGAGUGAUGUAUUUAUUUUAUCUUAGUUCUUGACCUCUGAAAGAAUGAACAGUUGUAUACAGAUAUCUUGUUCUUUUCUUCAAUGAGAAACACUGUGAGUCAAGAUGUCCUUGCAUAGCCUAAGAAGUCAUAGUAACUUGUAAUAGACCCAGACGCUCCAGCAAGAAGCUGAUACACUUCACCAAUGUCAGAUUAUAAUUUCAAGAAUGAUACCUUUUGUUUUUUUUUAGGAAAAAUUAAAUUUUAAUUAAAAAAGAAACCAAUAAAGAAUCACCAUCAUAAGGAUGAAUCUGGCUGGGCAUUUAUUUCGGGAGGAAAGCCCAGGAUGUAUUAAUUGAUGCCCUUCCACAUGAAAAUAAACGGAAGAGGAAAGAAAGUUUACUAUCAACACUAUCAACAGCAAAACUUGGAAGAUGUCUGAGCUCUCUCACAUGCUAAGCAUCAACGGAUUAGUACGUAGAAAAAUCUUCCUACCUGAGAGACACAUUUGCUGGGCCAAGGGGAAAUGGGAAUUUUUGGUCAAAGAGUGAGACUUUGGAGGUACAUGAUUGAUAUAGGAGAAAACAGGAGUCAAGGUCACCAAAUGAGAGAAUGCGUGGGAGAGAUGGAAACAAAUUUCUGUGCAGAAAUUCAAAUACUGUCACUCUGGAGAGUAUGAGAUUAUCAUGAUUUUAUUUCACUCUAGGUACACAAUAGAAUCACAUCCCUCUGGGAAUUCUUCCUUAUCAAGUUAGUAUUUACACACCAGCAAAGACACAGUUCUUAAGUGUACAAUUCAAAAAGGUAUAACCAACACUCCAGUUAAGAUACAGGAUAAUUUUAUUACUCUGGUAAGUUUUCUCAGUUUCCUUUGUAGUUAAUCAUCCUGUCAUCAGGCAAUGGAUGUUCUUACAUUUAUCAUCAUAGUUUAUUACUGCUUCUUCUGCA